GACGAACGCUGGCGGCGUGCCUAAUACAUGCAAGUCGAACGAAGCUUUUUUAACUGGUGCUUGCACCGACUUAAACAACUGAGUGGCGAACGGGUGAGUAACACGUGGGUAACCUGCCCCAAAGCGGGGGAUAACAUUUGGAAACAGAUGCUAAUACCGCAUAACCACAGAAACCACAUGGUUUCUGUGUCAAAGAUGGUUUCGGCCAUCACUUUGGGAUGGACCCGCGGCGUAUUAGCUAGUUGGUAAGGUAAUGGCUUACCAAGGCAAUGAUACGUAGCCGGACUGAGAGGUUGAUCGGCCACAUUGGGACUGAGACACGGCCCAAACUCCUACGGGAGGCAGCAGUAGGGAAUCUUCCACAAUGGACGGAAGUCUGAUGGAGCAACGCCGCGUGAGUGAAGAAGGUUUUCGGAUCGUAAAACUCUGUUGUCAGAGAAGAACGUGUGCGAGAGUAACUGUUCGUGCAGUGACGGUAUCUGGCCAGAAAGCCACGGCUAACUACGUGCCAGCCGCCGCGGUAA
rnacentral:rRNA from 1 species